rnacentral:lncRNA from 1 species
GCCAGAAGAUGGCAUUGAUGAAGGCUGUAUCACAGGCUCUCAGGACCCCUCAGAGGGAGCACCAGCAGGUUAGACAGAAGUCUUCAGGCACUGCCUUCCUCUGGCAUGCAAACAGAGCGUUGGCUCCUCUGGGUGACUUGUUUGUAGAGAUAUUCCUGUCUAAAAGAGUGACUCCUCCUCCAGAAAUGUCUGUCAGGAACGUGGGACAUGUCUGUAAAUGUCUCUUGUUAUCAUGUUUUGUGGUAAAUAUAAAAAAUGGGCAGGAACAAGGCUGGAAAAGCCAACUUCCCACUACCUUUAUACAUGAAGAUUGAUUCGUUGCUACUAUUUGUCUCUGGGUAAUUAGAGUCUUUUAUAAAUAACAGAAGGUUAUCAGCAAAUAAGUUGUCUUGAAAAUCUGUUCAGGAGAGCAGGCAUUGUGGUGUCUGCUUCUAAUUCCAAUAAUAAGGAGAGAAGCAGGGGCAGGGGCCAGGGCAGGGGCAGAGGCAAGAAAAUCUCUGUGAGUAUGAGGGCAGGCCGGUCUACAUAGUAAGUUCCAGGCCAAGUAGGGCUACAUAGUGAGUCCCUGUACUUUAAAACGAUAGCAACCACAACAAAGAAGAGGAAAAGAAAGCAAUUCUUUUUCAGGAGACAAAGAAGGAGACCCAUCCCUAGCAGACAACCCAGUCCAUUCCUGGGAGAGAGGAUGGCACCCAGCAAUGAGCAGACUCCACUAGACUGUUUUUCAGAUGGAGACAUUGGAGAAGCAGAGAGGAUGUGCACAAGGGAGGUACCACUGGACAUAGAAAGCAAAUGGAGAGACAUGGCAAGGAGAAAGGAUGUCAGUACUGAAGCUACUGCUAAGAGCCAAGAAAGGGGCUGGAAAGAGGACUCAGCUGUCAAGAACACUUGCUUCCUUCCAGACAACUCAGGUUCAACUCCCAGAAUCUUCGUAGGGGCUCACAACUGUGUGAACCUCCAGUCCCAGGGGGGAAUCUGAAACCUCUUCUGGUCUGUGCAAGCACCAGGCACAAAAGUGGUACACAGAUACACACAGAAGCUAAACACCCAUACACAUAAAAUAAAAAUGUAAAAAGGAUGAAUUAAGAGUCCUGUAAACACCACAGGAAGAUGAUGCUCAGAGCCCCCGAGUACCUGACUGUUCUUGCCAUGGAUUCAUGGGACAGAACCAGAGCCCAUCAUCCAUGAAGCAUUUAUGGAAGUCUAGAUUCUGCUAGCCAGCACAAGUUUCUCUAUUCUACACCACUUUAUAUCUUGGAAAUUUUGGCGAUCUCCUUAAAAUCAGAUCUCCAUGCUUAAAAUCAGCCAUGCUGAGAGGUGAGGAGGGGCUUUGUAAAGAGAUAAUUAGGACAUGAGUAUUCUGUCCUCCUUCACAGAUUAAUUUGUUAUCACGAGACAAGGUUAAAAUUAAAAUCAGAUCUUAGUCCUUAGGUAUUGAAUUUUUCAGUCCCUAGGACUGUAAAAAACCCCCCACAAAAUUUCUUUAUAAAUAACUCAGACCUUAACAACACAGAAAAGAUCAAGAUGCUGUGACAAUGUUUAAUGUUAACAUGACUAGAUUUGGAAUCACGGAGGAGACAUACUUCUGGUAUAUCCUCGAGGAUGCUUCCAGACAGAUUCCACCAAGGAGGAAAGACCCACCCCGAAUGUGGAGAGCAUCCUCUUGUAGGCUAGGGUUUGAACUGAAUAAAAGGAAAAAGAGAAGAAGUCGCAUGAGGGCCAGCACCUACCUCUCUGCUUCCUGACUGCGGAUUAACUGUGACCAGCUGCCUCACAUCACAGGGAGUACUUCCCUUGCUGCUCUUGUCUUUCCUGCCAUGACUGGACUGUGCCCUCCAACCAUAAGCCGAAGUAAACCCCUCUUCCUUAGGUUGUGCUUGUCAAGUAUGUUGUCAUGGCAACAAGAAAAGUUGCUACUACAGAACACUAGUACCAAGAGAUGGGGUUGUUACUGUGAGAAAACCUGCCCAUGUAGCUGUGAGGCCUUCUGAACUGAUGUGAGGGAGGAAUGUGGAAGCUUUUGGAGCCCUGAGCUAUAGCAUGUGUGGGGAGCUCAGACAGCCAGAAUGCUGAUAGAGAUGGAGACGCUCAAUGUGGUUUCAGAGGGAAACAAAGACUUUAUUGAGCAUUGGACCUGAAGUUCUGUGUAUUAUAUUCUGGAGUCCCCAAAUGAGCUUGUUUUCUUCCCAUAUGCUUAUAACUGAGUGAGGCUGAAUUCAAAAGCAGUGGACCACGUUGUUUGGCAGCAGAGAUUUCAAGACUACAGAACGUUCAGGUUAUGGCAUAGUUCCUUACUGCUUACUGUAUUGACUGAGAUUCAUAAUGAUAUUUCAAAGCACAAAGACACGGAAAAAUGUACAGAUAGGUCAAAAAAGGAGUGGAAGCCAACUUGAAGACUCCAACAAAAUCAGUGCCUAGAAAGCACCUAUAAUUGCUGAAGAGACUAGUGCCAUUGAAGAGCCACCAAAUGCUCCUCAAUAGGACAGUAGGGAACGCCUGACCCACCCAUUGAAAGCUAUUACUUAUGAUAAUGUGAGUUUGAAAAGGGGUCUUGAAAGGGGUUCCCUUUUCAAAACAACCACCACCUAGGGGAGUGUUUUCCCAGGUUCAGCCGCUAAGGUGCAGAGCUAUAGCUAUGAGAGACAAUGUCAGACUGUACCUAGAGCUAAUAGAAUUACUAAUUAAUAAUUGCCUGCAUUAUGCUGGCUUGGCAGGCUUGUAAAGUGCAAGAGUGAGCGGCACCCUGAGGGUUUGCAACAAGGAUCCAGAGAACUGCUGCCAUCAAGUCAAGUGUGGAAGGGUCUGAUUCUUUAAAAACAAGUCUUCACAUCCCUUUUACCCAGGAUCUACUUUCCAUCCCUGCAAAACAGUGCCUAGAGAUGUAGCCCAGCUGGUGGAGUGCUUGUCUCUUGUGUUCGAAUCCCUGUGUUUGAUAGCCAGCACUACAUAAACUGGGUGUGGUGGUGUACACCAAUAAUCCCAGCACCUAGGAGGUAGAGGCAAGAGGAUCAGAAUGUCAAGAUCAAGACAUAGAGCACACUAAAUCAGUGGAUCAACCAAAAACCAAUUGUAACAGGGGCCCAGACCUUAGUGCAACUGACUCCAUGAUGCAAACGCCAUACUGUGAAACUCAGCUUCUCCAGUUUAUUGUCCUAGCCAACUCUUCCUUUCAUUUUGUCUGCCCUAUGUCUGUAUUUUCCCAUACUGGACAGGAUGAGAAGUUGACUUUCGAGCCUGGACUCCCACUUCUCCACUCACUGCCCAGUGAACAGAUUUGUGCUAUUAGUGCUCAGCCUCAGUUUCCCCUUUCAUUUUACAACACCAAGUAUGUCUCUUGGGAGGGCCUUCUCUCUGGGACCAACAGAUGGCAGAUAAAACCUCUCACCCCUUGCUCUAUGCAUCUUGUUUACCUGACUGCCCCUG